rnacentral:rRNA from 1 species
GGGCUCGCACAAGUGGUGGAGCAUGCGGUUUAAUUCGAUGCUACGCGAAAAACCUUACCAACCCUUGACAUGGUGAUCGUAGGUUACAGAGAUGUAACCGUCAGUUCGGCUGGAUCACACACAGGUGUUGCAUGGCUGUCGUCAGCUCGUGUCGUGAGAUGUUGGGUUAAGUCCCGCAACGAGCGCAACCCUCAUCCUUAUUUGCCAGCGGUUCGGCCGGGGACUAUAAGGAAACUGCCGGUGAUAAACCGGAGGAAGGUGGGGAUGAUGUCAAGUCAUCAUGGCCCUUAUGGGUUGGGCUACACGCGUGCUACAAUGGUACUUACAGAGGGAAGCAAGACGGCGACGUGGAGCAAAUCCCUAAAAAGUAUCUCAGUUCGGAUUGCUCUCUGCAACUCGAGAGCAUGAAGUCGGAAUC